rnacentral:tRNA from 1 species
GUGGGUAUAGCUCAGUGGUAGAGUAUGUGCUUAGUGUGCAAGAGGUCCUGGGUUUAAUCCCCAGGACCUCCA